AAAGAAAAACACUGGCUCAGGAGUCAAGAUUUCCACAUGCUCACCUUCGUCGUCGUGAUUUAUAACUUGCGUCGGUAUAUGUAUUAGUACUACCAAGAAUAGCUCUGCAAUUGAGGAAAAUGACCCUUUGAACAGCUAUCAGGAACACAUCAAGCACAUACAACUAUUACAUGCAAGAUUUUCACAGUAGAAAAAAAUAGGCUCAUUCCUAUUGUGCAAAAAAAAGAAAACA